UUUCCGUAGGUGAACCUGCGGAAGGAUCAUUGUCGAAACCUGCCCAGCAGAACGACCCGCGAACUCGUAUAAACAACCGGGGGCGGGGGGCGUUCUCGCCCCGUGCCCCCGAACGGCGGGGAGACACCCGUGCCUUCUUGCCGAACAACGAACCCCGGCGCGGUCUGCGCCAAGGAACUUCAACUAAAGAGUGCCUCCGGUCGCCUCGGAAACGGCGUGCGUGCCGGGGGCGAAUCUUGUGCAAAACCAUAACGACUCUCGGCAACGGAUAUCUCGGCUCUC
rnacentral:misc_RNA from 1 species